UUCUAUUUUAUCCUAUAUUUUAAUUGGUUUCAAAAUACUUUUAGGAAUUUAAAAUUUUUGAAAAAUUAUUUUAUGUUUCUUAUUUUAUUUAUGCCUUUCAUAAUUUUCAUGGCCAUUCUUUUAGUGUUUUGAAGGACUUUAUGGAUUUCCUCUUUUAUUUCCUUUUUAAAAUUCAUUUUAAAAAUGUUCUUAAUGUAUUUUAUUUUAUUUUAUUGCAUUUUAUAUUUGUUUGACCUUUG
rnacentral:lncRNA from 1 species